GACAGAGGGGGGCAAGCGUUGCUCGGAAUCACUGGGCGUAAAGGGCGCGUAGGCGGGAUGGCAAGUCAGUCGUGAAAUCUCUCGGCUCAACCGAGAAACGUCGGCUGAUACUGCCGUUCUUGAGGGAUGCAGAGGAGACUGGAAUUCCCGGUGUAGCGGUGAAAUGCGUAGAUAUCGGAAGGAACAUCAGUGGCGAAAGCGACUUCCUGGACCAAUACUGACGCUCAUGUGCGAAAGCGUGGGGAGCAAACAGG
rnacentral:rRNA from 1 species